rfam:Dictyocaulus viviparus strain HannoverDv2000 D_viviparus-1.0_Cont258.9, whole genome shotgun sequence.
GCCUCGGUAGUGUAAUGGAUCAGCACGGCAGACCGGAUAUCUGUAAGUACGGGUUCAAAUCCCAACUGAGGUC